rnacentral:lncRNA from 1 species
CCAAGUCGCCUCUGAUGUGUGGACUGACUUUCUGCUUCCUGUGUCUCUGGGAGCUUGAGGCUUCUAUCCUUCUCAUUAGUGGAGCUCCCUAAUGACAUUUUAAUGCAAUUAUUGUCUCUUGAGUAAGCCUGAGAGCAUGUACCGAGUCUUCUCUUUCUCUUUCUCUCUUUAACUCUCAGCACAGAGCUCAGACGGAACCUUGGAUUGAGGAGGUUCAUGAGGCCUCCUGUAGCCAGGGAAUAUAUUUUAUUUCCCUCCAGUUACCAAUAUGAAGGUUUCCAAACGUUCAUAUCAUAUUUUAGGCCCUAAUCAUUAAUAUUGAGAGCCCUAAGCACUCCGAUUUGGGUCCAUAUCUAAAGGUGAGUUUUAGGGGAUCUGACUGAGAAGUGUUCCGGGCCAGCUCCCUAGAAACCCUUGGGUGCACUGACUUCUUCCUGGCCAGUGUCGUCUGCUUGGUCAUCAGUGUGUUCCUCCCCUCCUGAGUUCUCUCCAUCUUUCUGUUCUUCUGUUUUCUUGCAGUAAUCGAGGACAGGUGGUCGCUGGCACACAAGGAUAUUAGGAACCCAUGAGGUUGUCCCUUGUAGGAGAAAAGACUGGAGAGAGGCCACUGAAUCUCGUUGUGUCAUUCACCCUACCUAGUCCUGCUCUGCCAGGGUCAUGCUCACCUUCCAGACCCACCCAACAGUGAAGUCGGACUGAAAAAUCCCAGAAGUGGGAAUUGGGAGACAAGGUUGAGUGCAUUAGGGGGAUGUCUAGGAUUCCCCCUGAUUCGAAUAUUUUGUAGCUGUUUUGAGGGGUCCUUUUCGCAUCCAGACCAGGAUUUCACCUGGACAGCUGGAGUGGGAAAGAAGUGGAUACAUUUCAAGCUCCUAGGGCUGUAGUUAAUGUGUCCUGUCAUAACCACUGCAGAACAGCCAGUGUAGGUCAGAGAAUGCAACCACUGGUGGCAUGUAUAACCCUUCACCAAUAAACCGAAGUGCAGUCCCACAAACAUGGGAGUCAUUCAGCUACAAUUAGCUUUGCUAUGGACAGGAGGAAUUAAAAUUUAAUACCGUAGCAACAGCAAAACAUGAUUCGUUCUACAGUGUUAGUGGGGAUGGUAACACAAGGAAGGUUAUGAUAACCAAGUUUCUCUGAAAAGGUCAAGUGGAUUUCCUCAGUGGGCUAUGUUUCUGGAAUAUAAGGUAAUGGUGAAUAAUAGAGGAAAUCUCCCUCUAAGAAUGGGAACUCUUUAAUUCAUCUGCAUUAGUCAUUCAAUAAAAAUAAAUUAGCAUACAUUUUACUGGGGACCUAUUUAGAGGGGUACUAUGAACAGUAGCCAUAAAUAACUCUUGCAUAGGAAGAACGUGAAUUACUCUACUUUGUAAAUAUUAGUUUGCAAAAGUAAUUGUGGUUUUGCAAUUACUUUUGAGGAACGUAAUUCAGUGGGAAGUAACUUGCAUAAUUCCAAGUUCUGAAGCAGAGGCAGCUGAAAUAUUUGCCAUUGCAAUGAAAAGGACUUUCCUCCCGGGAUUCUUCCCUAGUUCCUGGACAAGGAGAUUUGUUAAUAUUUGUAGUACACUUGAGAUCUGCGACUAAAAGUGCUUUAGGAGAGAAAAGCAUCACAAGAAGAAAGGGCUUUUUGUUUCUUUUUAAAAUAAAAUAAAUGCAAUUUCUUUCACCAAAAAAAAGGCGAACAUUGCUAAGCAUAAAUGAGCACUUCCUUUUAGAAAUGAAUAAAGUAAAACUCAACCAUUAGCAACUUCCCAUAGCUAGAGCUCGCAGAGGAAAAUGUUAACACAUAGCAUCAUGUUUGAAUUUUAUUAUUUUCAUAGAGAAGAAAACCAGCAAGCAAACCCCUUCUCUUGAGAGAACAGCCUUGAAGUACUCAGAACAGAGAGCAUAUGUAUCUAUUGAAAUAAAAUAAAGUCACUUUUCUCCAGGAAAAUACUAUAGAUAUUUUCUCAUGGAAAAAAUAGACUAGACCUAUGGGUCUAAAUAUGUAAACAUAAAGAGAGAUCACACUAUUUAUUCAAGUACUGUGCUAUCUCAAGACACCCAGCCAUGC